rnacentral:rRNA from 1 species
AAAGCUUACGGGACGCAGCAGUGAGGAAUAUUGGUCAAUGGCCGAGAGGCUGAACCAGCCAAGUCGCGUGAGGGAAGACGGCCCUACGGGUUGUAAACCUCUUUUGUCGGGGAGCAAAGCGAACCACGUGUGGUUCAUUGAGAGUACCCGAAGAAAAAGCAUCGGCUAACUCCGUGCCAGCAGCCGCGGUAAUACGGAGGAUGCGAGCGUUAUCCGGAUUUAUUGGGUUUAAAGGGUGCGCAGGCGGAGGGGCAAGUCAGCGGUCAAAUUGCGGGGCUCAACCCCGAACGGCCGUUGAAACUGCA